rnacentral:lncRNA from 1 species
UUCUUCGGAAGUCCUUCAAUAAGCUCUUUGGCCUCCUUAAGCGCCAGACUCGUUAAAGCUCUAACGGCUUUAAUCGUCGCAAUCCUCGCGUUACUAGGAACCUCAUCAAUCACAACAUCGAACUCCGUCUUCUCCUCCACGGCAGCAGGUGCUUCAGCUCCAGCGCCAGGUGCGGCAACAACCGCAGCAGGAGCAAAGGAGGCGGCGGUGACUCCAAGCUUGUCUUGGAGGUACUCAACUAGCUUUUGUGCAUCUGCAAGGGUUAGGUUCGAAAUUUCAUCGCCUAGCUCUACAACCUUCCCCUCGGCAACGGCGGCAACGGGGCGGAGAAAUGUCGAUCGGUGGGAGAGUUUAGGGGUUCGGAGGGGGAAUUCUAGGGUUUGUUUGGGGGAAAAGGCUGCGGGAGAUGCAGCUUGAGUGGUGGCAGCGUAGGAAGGAUAAGAGAAGGAGCGCAAAGUAAUUGUAGAGAGAGUAGAAGACGCCAUUAGAGCAGAGCUCGGGAGAGACUGCAAGAGGGGACUGGGGAACGAAUGGAGAGAUAGGAUAAGAGGAUAGAGAAGUUUGGU